UUAGUUGCCAUCAUUGAGUUGGGCACUCUAAGGAAACUGCCCCGGUUAACGGGAGGAAAGGUGGGGAUGACGUCAAGUCCUCAUGGUCUUUAUGUCCAGGGCUACACACGUGCUACAAUGGGCGGUACAAAGGGUUGCAAUACCGUAAGGUGGAGCUAAUCCCAAAAAGCCGCUCUCAGUUCAGAUUAGAGUCUGCAACUCGACUUUAUGAAGGCGGAAUCGCUAGUAAUCGCGGAUCAGCAUGCCGCGGUGAAUACGUUCCCGGGCCUU
rnacentral:rRNA from 1 species